rfam:TPA: Bos taurus chromosome 8, whole genome shotgun sequence.
UCCCUUAUAGCUCAGUCGGUAAAGAAUCUGCCUGUAAAGCAGGAGACCUGGGUUUGAUUCCUGGGUUCGAUUCCUGGGUUGGGAA